AUGGAGGUGACCGAUGCAGAUGAGCAGAUCACAAACUGGAGGGAGCAAAGGGCUCCGCGCCGCCUCGCCGCGGUCUCGCGUGCGGCCUCGUUCGCCGGCGACCGCCCUGCGUCUGCGUGCACCCACGUCGUGCCUAGGGAGGAGACCUGUGCAGCCGGAGAGGCGAGGUGGAGCGGGAGCCGCCGCGCCGCGCGGGAUCGCGCGCGACCUCAUCGCCAGUGGCCGCCCACGGCGCGUCCACUCUGCUUGGAGGAGAUUUGUGCGACCAGAGAGGUUAGCGCUAAAUUUGGGGUGAGAUUGGGAGGUUAG
rnacentral:rRNA from 1 species